AGAGGGUGCGAGCGUUAAUCGGAAUUACUGGGCGUAAAGGGCGCGUAGGUUGAGAAUUAAGUUGGAUGUGAAAUCCCCGGGCUUAACCUGGGAGUGUCAUCCAAAACUAGUUAUCUAGAGUACAGUAGAGGGAAGUGGAAUUUCCGGUGUAGCGGUGAAAUGCGUAGAUAUCGGAAGGAACACCAGUGGCGAAGGCGGCUUCCUGGACUGAUACUGACACUGAGGCGCGAAAGCGUGGGUAGCAAACAGGAUUAGAUACCCUGGUAGUCCACGCCGUAAACGAUGAGAACUAGCUGUUGGGGGAUUAAUUUCUCAGUGGCGCAGCUAACGCAUUAAGUUCUCCGCCUGGGGGAGUACGGCCGCAAGGUUA
rnacentral:rRNA from 1 species